rnacentral:tRNA from 1 species
AGCAGGGUCAGCUAAAGAAGCUAUCGGGCCCAUACCCCGAAAAUGUAGGUUUGACUCCUUCCCCUGCUA